CAUGGAAAUUGGGAACAAGCACUUACUCGCUUAGAGGGUGAAAAAAGUGAAUUUGCCUACAGGGCCAAUUUGGAAGCACCUCUCCCCGGAAGCCAGUCAAUGAAGAGCCAUUGGAGGAUUUUAAAUAAGGAACCGAAAAAUGGAGUCUGAAAAUAGAGGCGCAGAGACCGGUCAACCACAAUGAAGAACAAGCCAUUUUGACCUCCAUCCUGGCUCAUCUCCUCUGUGUUCUCAUAGCAUCAUAUUAUAGAAUGGAUCACAAACGCCUUUGCAGUUGCCUAUUUCUUUGUCCAUUUCUCCCUCCAGACUGCCUUUGUGAGAAAAACACCCAAAUGCCACAAGUGCAUCCCCAGGGAGCUGCAGGGUGGCAGGAGCUGAGGAUGCAAAAACAUAAUUGCCUUCUAUCUACUCUGAUUUGAGCUUCAUCAAAUCCUUUGGCUCCCAAGGCAUUCUGCAGCAGAUGUGUGCACAAUAUUCCAGCACUAGGACUUGUGUCUGCGGGUACUGCUCGAGGCCCAAGAGUCUGAGGGUCUGCAAAGCCUCCAAGCCCUUCCCCUUCCUCCCAGGCCUCAGGGCCUGUGCUGGCCACCCUCCUAUACAGCCCUUACUUGGCAUUCUUGCUAAGUCCUGUGGGGGCUCCAUCCUUGACUCUUUUCAUUCCACGCUGAUUUCUUCUGGGCUCUGCGCCUCAGGGGAGAACUUGCAAUGCUAGUAAUAAACAAAGAGUACUCAUGAUAAAAAAAUGAA
rnacentral:antisense_RNA from 1 species